rnacentral:misc_RNA from 1 species
GGAAGGAUCAUUAACAAAUCAUGGAAACGUUUGUUCCUUAAACCCAUCCCGCGUAUCUGUUCAUGUUGCUUCCGCGAGAUGUCGGCCGGUCUCGUGUCGUCGCCUCCUCUCCGAUCAGUUCGGAAGGCUCGCGGAAGGUAGUUUUGAAAACCUGUUUUUCGUUUAGUGCUGUCUGAAUGUUACCUUAUUCCAAAUCUCAAAACUUUCAACAACGGAUCUCUUGGUUCUCGCAUCGAUGAAGAGCGCAGCGAAAUGCGAUAAUUAGUGUGAAUUGCAGAAUUCCGUGAAUCAUCGAGUUCUUGAACGCACAUUGCGCCUCUUGGCAUUCCAGGAGGCAUGCCUGUUCGAGCGUCAUCAAAAAACCUUCAGGUUUGGAUAGCCAUCCAUUGCCUGGUUCUGGAUGCGGACCUUUCGACAGAGAGUUCCCUUUCGAAAUGCAAUCGCUUGAGUGGCGGCAUAAUGAGUGUAAUACGUUCUCACAAACAUCAUUCAUUCUUGUCUUCGUUUGAUGCGACACACUUCCAAGCUUUAUCAUGGUUAUGACCUCGGAUCAGGUAAGGAUACCCGCUGAACUUAAGCAUAUCAAUAAGCGGAGGAAAAGAAACCAACAGGGAUUGCCCCAGUAACUGCGAGUGAAGCGGCAUGAGCUCAAAUUUUGAAUCUGGCGCCUCUGGCGUCCGAGUUGUAAUUUGGAGAGAUGCUUUCGAGAUGGGCACCGUUCCAAGUUCCUUGGAACAGGACGUCACAGAGGGUGAGAAUCCCGUAUUUGAAUGGCUGUCCCGUCUCAUGUGAAGUGUCUUCGACGAGUCGAGUUGUUUGGGAAUGCAGCUCAAAAUGGGUGGUAAAUGUCAUCUAAAGCUAAAUACCGGCGAGAGACCGAUAGCGCACAAGUAGAGUGAUCGAAAGAUGAAAAGCACUUUGAAAAGAGAGUUAAAAAGUACGUGAAAUUGUUGAAAGGGAAGCGCUUGAGACCAGACGCAGGUUUCGGUAAUCAGCAGUGCUUCGGUGCUGUGCAUUUGCCGUCAACUUGGGACAGCAUCGGUUCGGACGACUGGACAAAGGGCUGGGGAAUGUAGCUCCCUUCGGGGAGUGUUAUAGCCUCAGGCGUAAUGCAGCCCAUCCGGACCGAGGAUCGCGCCUUGGCAAGGAUGCUGUCGAAAUGGUCUUCAGCGACCCGUCUUGAAACACGGACCAAGGAGUCUAACAUCUAUGCGAGUGUUUGGGUUGAAAACCCUUUCGCGCAAUGAAAGUGAACGUAGGUGGGAACUCUUCGGAGUGCACCAUCGACCGAUCCUGAUGUCCUCGGAUGGAUUUGAGUAAGAGCAUAGCUGUUGGGACCCGAAAGAUGGUGAACUAUGCCUGAAUAGGGUGAAGCCAGAGGAAACUCUGGUGGAGGCUCGCAGCGGUUCUGACGUGCAAAUCGAUCGUCAAAUUUGGGUAUAGGGGCGAAAGACUAAUCGAACCAUCUAGUAGCUGGUUCCUGC